UACGUAGGUCCCGAGCGUUGUCCGGAUUUAUUGGGCGUAAAGCGAGCGCAGGUGGUUUAAUAAGUCUGAUGUAAAAGGCAGUGGCUCAACCAUUGUGUGCAUUGGAAACUGUUAAACUUGAGUGCAGGAGAGAAAAGUGGAAUUCCUAGUGUAGCGGUGAAAUGCGUAGAGAUUAGGAGGAACACCAGUGGCGAAGGCGGCUUUUUGGCCUGUAACUGACACUGAGGCGCGAAAGCGUGGGGAGCAAACAGG
rnacentral:rRNA from 1 species